UUAAAAUGUUGACAAACAUAAAACCGUUUCCGUUUUUUUUCAAGGAAAACGUAUUAAAACGUAUGCAAACGGACAUCCAUUUAUGAACCGUAUACGGUUUAAAAACGUGAAGAGGCAUAUACGGUUGCAUAUAUUUUCGUCCGGUUUGGAGACAUACGUUUUUUGUACAGAAACGGGAUACGGGAAUACAGCCUUAGUGGGGGCACAGCUUCCUUACAUAACUGCUUAUAAACCCUUUCAUGUGCCCUUUUUUUUUUUAUAUAAACUGGGCAGUUUUUCAAUAUUUCUUUAACAAUUUUUUGCUAUAAUUAUCGUGGUUAAAAUAAUGAAGAUAAAAACUUUAAUAUGAAGUAAUAACAACACUAAAUGCCACAUAUUUGCAGAGAAAUUUUGAAAAUGUCAAACCAGAUUAAAAAUGUAAUUUUAAUACAGACAUUGAAUGCAAGAUAAAUUGUAAAAUUAUAUCAUAAAAGUUAUAUUUGUGUGGAAUGCAUAUACUCCCUUAAUCUUUCAACCUAUUUGCUGUGGUUGCUGUUGACCACAGCAGCUAAUAGGUUAAAGGGGUAUUCCAGGAAUUUUUUUUAAUUUGACUAUGCUACAGAGGCUGUAAAGUUAGUGUAGUUCCUAAUAUAGUGUCUGUUUCUCACAAUUCUUAUGUGAUUUUUACUCCAAUAUUUAUUUUUAACAGCAUACAAAAUGUUAUCUCAGAUUUUUCCCAGGUUGCAAUGCGGCCGAGACCUGACCUCACUAGUCAGCUGAUGACAGGGAGCCUGUCUGCUUCAAUGGGUGGAGCGAUCGCUUGGUGGGAGAGGGAUCAAUCUGCAGCUAAUGCAACAGCUGUAGACACCCUGAUUGAAAACCACAGGUCUUUAGAAUGCAUGCAGCUCAUUUAUGUUUUAAUGGGUGUGGUGGCUGAUGUGUGGGAGGGAGGAACAUGGAAUUAUGGGAUUUGUAGGCAAAUAAGGAAACUCAAACAGGAAAUACCAGUUCACAAAAAGCUAGCCACAGUGUUAUAGUAAUCUCACAACUUAGCCAUUUAGCCCCAAGACAAGUGCAGACCCUUCCUAAGCAUGUCCAUUACUGUCUGGCAGGUACGUACCAAAAUCACCUUAUGGUGGAUAACCCCUUUAACCCCUUAACGAAGAAGGACGUAUAUUUAUGUCCUCCGCCGGCUCCCGCAAUAUGCCGCGUGUGACCCAGUGGCGGAUCCAGGGGGGGCUGACAGCUCCCGCUCCACCAUUCACUCAUUUGUUUACCUUUCUCGCGAGUCGCCGCUAGGACGUGAUCGCCGAUCAACGGCAGGCCGGCGCGAUGACGUCAUAUUAUCGCGCCGGCGCCUGAAGAUCCUGUCACCGCGGCUCACUGCUGACUUGUCGGCACACUGCACUGUGCACGCAAGAAGAAGAGAGCUGCUCAGCGGGGGAACAUAACAUAAAGGAUCAGAAUCUGCUGACAAAUUAAGGAGCCAUCUGGGUGUCAUUUCCUGCAGAGAGAAGAUUUCGCUGACAAAGUCACAGCGGUUUUUUUCUCUGUAUAUACCUUGUGACGGACUGACUCUGCCAAAAGUGACUUCUCCUUCUGGAUGACAAGCCCCAGCAUAUCACAGGCAAUAUCCCCAGGCAGAACUAGAGAUUAUUGCAUCCUUGUACCCAAAGAACCAGGCAACCCCAGUCUUCAGACAGAGACAGGAAGUUGUCUUGAGUCUCACGCUAUGUGCGGCAGAAAGACGCGCCGCGAAUGCGCACCUACAUUGUUUACAAGCUAGAUCCGUCCCGCUGUCUAAUUUCAUCCACCGGCCCAUAUUCUUCCUGGUCUGCAGAUUCCUGUUGGUUUUCAUCCAUAUUUUAGAGCCUCAUCUCUCUGCUACCAUACUUCAAAUUUUCUUCUAGACUCAAGACCUCGUUGGAUCCUUCUCCUGUAUUGACUAGUUUUUUUCCUCAGUUCAUGAUAUUACUUUAUGAUGGUUCUACAGUUACCGCAAAGAAAGGGGGAGAAUACCAGGAUGUAACAGCUAAUAUCACCUGGACUCAAUCCU